rnacentral:rRNA from 1 species
ACAAGCAGCGGAGCGUGUGGUUUAAUUCGUUGCUACACGAAGAACCUUACCUGGGUUUGACAUAUAGGUUGUAGGGAAACUGAAAAGGGACCGACCCUUCGGGGAGCCUAUACAGGUGUUGCAUGGCUGUCGUCAGCUCGUGUCGUGAGAUGUUCGGUUAAGUCCGCUAACGAGCGCAACCCUCGUCGUAUGUUAUAUGUGUCAUACGAGACUGCCGGUAAAAAGCCGGAGGAAGGUGAGGAUGAUGUCAAGUCAGCAUGACCUUUAUAUCCAGGGCUACACACACGCUACAAUGGUCUGUACAAUGGGUAGCCAAGCCGCGAGGCGGAGCCAAUCCUGAAAGCAGGCCUCAGUUCAGAUUGCAGUCUGCAACUCGACUGCAUGAAGCCGGAGCUGCUAGUAACCGCAGGUCAGCAAUACUGCGGUGAAUACGUUCCCGGGUCUU